CCCAUGUCAAUAGAGACGAAGGGAUCUUCAAAAUGUUCUGGCAACACAAAUUCCUUGAACUGGAAGGAAGAUUUCAAAGAAGGGGAUGCGUUGAAAGGAAGACAAAUGCUAUUAAACAACCUUAAAUAUUAAACAGAAAGUAAACAGUUUCCGCGUAGUAAUGCGAAAACACAGUGUGAAAAUCUUAAAACCAUCGGAGAGAAAGUCGAAAUAUUUUCAGAUAAUUAGUUUGAAAUACAAUGAAAACUUGGGAAUAAUCAUGACUGUCUUGAAGGAUUCUUUGAAGGGGUGAAGAAUUGUCAUCCUCAUUUGCAUUUCCAUCAUACUCAUUUGGAAAAUCUAUUUCGGAAAGAAAGUUUCAUGGUCCAACUCUGGAUGCUGAUGUAAUACCGAAUCAAUGACUUUCAGGAUUGGCGACAAAUUUUCUAACUUUUGUGCACUUAGGAAAGAUUUUGGCAACAAAAGGGAUCAUACCAGCAACUUCAAGAAUUUUGGUGAUAGGCUCAUUAGGACGCGAUUUAAAGUGAUCUUUCUCCGCUGUAUCAUAGGUACUAUAAAAA